rnacentral:rRNA from 1 species
GACGAACGCUGGCGGCGUGCUUAACACAUGCAAGUCGAACGGUAAGGCCCUUCGGGGUACACGAGUGGCGAACGGGUGAGUAACACGUGGUGAUCUGCCCUGCACUUCGGGAUAAGCCUGGGAAACUGGGUCUAAUACCGGAUAGGACCAUGGACUUCACGGUUUGUGGUGGAAAGCUUUUGCGGUGUGGGAUGGGCCCGCGGCCUAUCAGCUUGUUGGUGGGGUAAUGGCCUACCAAGGCGACGACGGGUUAGCCGGCCUGAGAGGGUGUCCGGCCACACUGGGACUGAGAUACGGCCCAGACUCCUACGGGAGGCAGCAGUGGGGAAUAUUGCACAAUGGGCGCAAGCCUGAUGCAGCGACGCCGCGUGAGGGAUGACGGCCUC